GUUCAGACUUCAGAGACAAGUUGAGAUGAUCUCUAGGUGGUGAUGUUCAGACUUCAGAGACAAGUUGAGAUGAUCUCUAGGUGGUGAUGUUCAGACUUCAGAGACAAGUUGAGAUGAUCUCUAGGUGGUGAUGUUCAGACUUCAGAGACAAGUUGAGAUGAUCUCUAGGUGGUGAUGUUGGAUGCUCAGAUGAUUAUCAGCAUGCAUGAAGUUAUCACUACGAUAAUAGAACAUUGCAUUAACACUUAUUUCACUAUGGGUAGUGUCUGCUUGUCAAGAAAAUGACAAAGAAAAGUAUUUGUUGAACGAAAACGAAUUGAAAAUGCUAAAAAGUCUCAGUGAAUAUUUA